rnacentral:lncRNA from 1 species
AUGAGGGGUUGGAUGACAGGGGGCCUGAGGGAGGGGAGGCACGCUCAGGGGACCAGCCCACCGGCUCCCCUUGGCCAGCGGAGGAUGUCGGUGGUGGGGGAAGGGCCCGACCAAGGGAGGGGCUCCUGGGUGAGGGGCUUGGCUCGCCCUGAGGGGCAGGAGGCUGAGCGGGUGCUCCGCGGGAAGACGAGCCCAGGGCCCCUCAUGGAGGGGCCCCUCACGGAGGGGGCUCUGCCUGAGCAGCACCGACCCACCCAGCGAGGGGGCUGCGGCGGGCCUGGGGGGAGGGGCUGGCUUGGCGGAGGGGCGCGCGGCAAGUACCGCGGGGGCCGGAGGGCGCCCAGGGGGAGCUGUCCAAGGUGGGCGCGCCGAGGGCUGCGCGGCCGGGGCUCCACGGACUGCGGAGGGGGUCCGGGCGCGGGGGCGGGGGUGAGGGGGGCGCCGGGAGCAGGAGGGCCGAGCCCCGCGGCCGCGAGGGUGGGGCUCGGACAAAGGAGGGGCGCGCGGGGAGAGGGCCCCGCGGGCCUCGCGGGUGGGGUGCGGCAGGGCCCGGCCCCCCGCCCCGGCCGCCUACCUGGGCGCUCGUCCUGCGGCGCCGCCGCGGCUGCUUGCUGGCCGGCUCGUGUCCGCUCGGGCGCCGCCGCCCCCCGCGCGCCCGCCGCCCGCCCGCCCGCCCGCCCGAGCCGCCGCCGCCGCCGCCGCCGCCGCCGCCGCCGCGCCCGCGCCAGUCCCCGCCCGUCCCCGCCCGUCCCCGCCCGCCGGGCGCCGCGCUCCGCCCCUCCCCGGGGACCCGCGCCCGGCCAAGGUCACCGCCGCCCCGACCCCCUGCCCGGCGCCCCGGGGAGUCGCCAGGCCGGGGGCGGGGGAGGGGGGCGCGACGGGGUGGGGUCUGCCUGCCUCUUUGGGAACGCGCCCCAGGGUCACCCUGGAGCCAGGCGCUGGGCAAGAGCGGGGCAGCGUCGCGGUCACCCGGGGAGCAAAGGGAAGGGCCUGUUGGCGGAACUGCAGCUCAGGGCCCGGGUGUGGGUGGGGUCGUGGGCCAGCCUGGGUCCCGGGGCUUUGCUGGGAUGGAGACGUGAUCAGUGGAUAAAGAGAUAUAUGAGAGCACAACGGUGGCCCCAGGGGGCUCCCGGGCAAUGGGGGUGUGCCUGGAGACCACUCCUCCGUCCUAGGGGCUUUGUGUUGGCAGGGGUGGGAGAGGGUGCCAGGAGAGAAGUGAAGACAGCACUAAGUCUGGGUUGGUGCCCCCAAGGGCAACCCACCCAAGGGGAGAGCAGCUGUGAGUCUGGGGGACCAUCUGAAAGUGGGGGUGAACAAAGGGGACUGAGGGGCUGGGGGACUGGGUUUGUGGUUUUGGUUAGGAAAAUAUCUAUCUUCCUCAAAUAG